UACGUAGGGCGCAAGCGUUAUCCGGAUUUACUGGGCGUAAAGGGCGCGUAGGCGGCGCGGUAAGUCACUUGUGAAAUCUCUGAGCUUAACUCAGAACGGCCAAGUGAUACUGCAGUGCUAGAGUGUGGAAGGGGCAAUCGGAAUUCUUGGUGUAGCGGUGAAAUGCGUAGAUAUCAAGAGGAACACCUGAGGUGAAGACGGGUUGCUGGGCCAACACUGACGCUGAGGCGCGAAAGCCAGGGGAGCAAACGGG
rnacentral:rRNA from 1 species